rnacentral:rRNA from 1 species
UGGGGAAUAUUGGACAAUGGGCGCAAGCCUGAUCCAGCCAUGCCGCGUGAGUGAUGAAGGCCUUAGGGUUGUAAAGCUCUUUUGGCGGGGACGAUAAUGACGGUACCCGCAGAAGAAGCCCCGGCUAACUUCGUGCCAGCAGCCGCGGUAAUACGAAGGGGGCUAGCGUUGCUCGGAAUCACUGGGCGUAAAGGGCGCGUAGGCGGACAUUUAAGUCGGGGGUGAAAGCCCAGGGCUCAACCCUGGAAUUGCCUCCGAUACUGGGUGUCUCGAGACCGGAAGAGGUGAGUGGAACUGCGAGUGUAGAGGUGAAAUUCGUAGAUAUUCGCAAGAACACCAGCGGCGAAGGCGGCUCACUGGUCCGGUUCUGACGCUGAGGCGCGAAAGCGUGGGGAGCAAACAGGAUUAGAUACCCUGGUAGUCCACGCCGUAAACGAUGGAUGCUAGCCGUUGGCAGGCUUGCCUGUCAGUGGCGCAGCUAACGCUUUAAGCAUCCCGCCUGGGGAGUACGGCCGCAAGGUUAAAACUCAAAGGAAUUGACGGGGUCAUAGCUGUUUCCU